GGUGGAUGGUUGGCGGUUAGGGGCGAAGCGGGGUGGAUGGUUGGCGGUUAGGGGCAAAUCGGGGUGGAUGGUUGACGGUUAGGGGCCAAGCGGGGUGGCCGGUUGGCAGUUAGGGGCGAAGCGGGGUGUAUGGUUGGCGGUUAGGGGCGAAGCAGGGUGGUUUGGUUGGCGGAUAGGUUUGAAGCGGGGUGGAUGGUUGGCGGUUAGGGGCCACGCGUGGUGUUUUGGUUGGCGGUCUGGGGUGAAGCGGAUGGUUGGCAGUUAGGGUCGAAGCGGGGUGGAUAGUUGGCGGUUAGGGGCGAAGCGGGGUGGAUGGUUGGUGGUUAGGGGCGAAGCGGGGUGGGUGGUUGACGGUUAGGGGCGAAGUGGGUGGUUGGCGUUUAGGGGAGAAGCGGAUGGUUGGCGGUUUGGGGCGAAGCGGGGUGGAUGGUUGACGGUUAGGGGCGAAGCGUGUGGAUGGUUGGCGGUUAGGGGCGAAGCGGAUGGUUGGCGGUUAGGGGCGAAGCGGAUGGUUGGCGGUUAGGGGCGAAGCGGGGUGGAUGGUUGACGGUUAGGGGCGAAGCGGAUGGUUGGAGGGCGAAGCGGGGUGGAUGGUUGGCGGUUAGGGCGAAGCGGGGUGGUUGGUUGGCCGUUAGGGGCGAAGCGGGGAGGAUGGUUGUCGGUUAGGGGCGAAGCGGGGUGUUUUGGUUGGAGGUUAGGGGCGAAGCGGGGAGGAUGGUUGGCGGUUAGGGGCGAAGCGUGGUGUUUGGUU
ensembl:lncRNA